rnacentral:rRNA from 1 species
GCAUAAUCAAUAGUUCUUUAAUUGGGAACUGGAAUGAAGGGUUAAGACUAAGAAGAAUGUUUUAUUUAAUAAAUUUGAAUUUAAAUUAAAAGUAAAAAUGCUUUUAUGAAGUUUUGGGACGAGAAGACCCUAGAAGCUUAAAAUUAAAGAUUUUUUGUUGGGGUAACAUUUGAAGAUAUGAAUUUUUAAAAAAUUUUUGAAGGAGAUUUAAUAAAGUUACUCUAGGGAUAACAGCAUUAUUUAAUUAACAAGUUCUUAUUAAUAAUUAAGUUUGUGACCUCGAUGUUGAAUUAAUU